UCCGUAGGUGAACCUGCGGAAGGAUCAUUGUCGAAACCCGAACGGACGACCGCAAACCCGUAAACGCUCCCGCAGGGGCGGAGGGAGGGCGGAUAUUCCGACCGCCCGACCCCGCACCUCAGGGCACAAUGGCCGCCCCCGCAUCGCUGCAGGACGGGCGACGGUAACAACACCCGGCGUGGUGGGCGCCAAGGAACAGUGCUAUCAGAGAGCGCCGCGUGCCGGCCUCGGCGCGUAGCACGGUCUUUCCAUAUGUCGAACUUUUACAACUCUCGGCAACAGAUAACUUGGCUCUCGCAUCGAUGAAGAACGUAGCGAAAUGUGAUACUUGGUGUGAAUUGCAGAAUCCCGUGAACCAUCGAGUCUUUGAAUGCAAGUUGCGUCCGAGACUAUCCGGCCGAGGGCACGCCUACCUGGGCAUCACGCCUCGCAUCGCCUGCGCACCCUGCCCCACAUCCUGGGAAGGCGGCAGGUGCGGAUGCGGAGAUUGGCCCCCGUGCCUGACGGCGCAGCGGGUCAAAGCGCGUGCCGCCGGCUGGGACGGACGCGACGACUGGUGGACGGACACGUGCGAGGCUUAACGUUGCCUCCACCCCCCAGCCCCGGCGGUGCAUGCAAGGAACCCACGCCGAGCACCCAUCGGAACAUGAUUCUAGAUCAGGCGGGGCCACCCGCUGUGCUUAAGCAUAUCAAUAAGCGGAG
rnacentral:rRNA from 1 species